UCAAUCCCAACCGUCGAGGAUUUUUUAUUCAACGACUUAGAAGUUAGGACUCCAUAAUAUAUAAUUGUCCUAAAUACCGCACACCUCUUCUCUCAUCACUCUCUCACCAGAACCCUAGCGCCGCUAGCAGUUUCCACCGCCUUAGGGUGGUGCCGCUGCCUCCAAACGACACCAAAUUAACACCCCUAGACUCUCUACCCCUCAUCAUCCGAAUCCCUAACCUAUUCCCUUCGAAUAUCCCUGGAAGCACUCGAAUGUUGGAAUCAAGCUUAGCCCCAAAAUUACGGUCUUGUCCAAUUGAAUUUCUUGGUGAAGUUUUAGGUUCGUUUUGAGGUUAUUCAUGUAUUUUUAAUGGAAAUACAUGCUUAAUCUCAGAUUUGAGCCCAGAUUUGAGAAGUUUGAAGGUUGUCCCCUUUCUCCUUUUGUCUAAACCCUUUUACAUAGUUUUUCUCCUUUAUCUUUUGUUCAGUGCUCUUUCUCUUCUACUCCUCUAUUACUUCUUUUAUUUGUCAUUAUUUUGUUUGAUUUUUUUUGUGUUCCUUCACGGUUCGUUUAUGCACGCAUUGGUUAAUUCGGAAUAUGGUCUUAAAUAGUUAAUUAGUUUUUUUUGAUAAUUCAGUUAAUUCCCUUUAUUGGUGUUAUUCAAACAGCAAUCUAGUUAUUUGAGUUGUUCUGCCUUUAGAAGCUUAUAGUUUAGGGAUUUUAGUCCAUGAUUUGUAGUUUAGUUCAUUACUGACCAUUUGGCAAAGGUAGUCCGCAUAUUUGGGUCAAUCUGACCCGUUUUGAUUGUUCUGAAGUUAAUCUCAGGGUUAUGGGGGGAAUUUGGGUAAUUUAGGUCAAGGAAUCUUGCAGUAACCACUAAAAAAAGCCCUUGGAAGCUUCUAGCAGGGGUGUACUGUUAAAAUUUCAUUCUAUGACUUGGUUAGCAAGUCAUAAAAUGAGGUACUACGAGGUAAAAUGGACUCUGAAGAUUUCCCUAAUGUUCAGCCUAUAAAAGGCAUGAAAACUUAAGCUAAAAGGGGUUCUUUUGGGGGGGGGGGGGGAACAAACUAGGAGAAAAAUAAUCAGAAAAUCAGCCUAUAAAAGGCAUGAAAACUUAAGCUAAAAGGGGUUCUUUUGGGGGGGGGGGGUGAACAAACUAGGAGAAAAAUAAUCAGAAAAUACAACAGCCAAUUCUACUGUUCCAUUGGGUUUCCUGCUAUAAUUUUAUUAGAUUUUUGAAUCAGACGUGCUUGAGGAUGGUUUAAAUUGGAUUUUGAAAAUUGAUUUUGAGCUAAGGCUGUGUUGAAAUCCCUUUUGAUUGGAAUCUGGGUUUAGAAAUUGGAUCUAAGUCUGUUGGAACUUGGCUUGAAGUUUGGACUGGUUUAAGCCUUGUAAACACCUUUAUAUUACUGCCAAUACUGCCUACUGCUGCUGAUACUCACUUUUCUGUUUUUCUUUGCUUCCUAGGUACAAUUUAUACCUCAUCUAAUAUAAAACAUUGUGAUAUGGAAGUUUGAAUAUUGGAAGCAUAAUGCCCAUUUGCCCUCAUUAUGUUAGCUUAAUUUUGCCUUUGUUUCGAAUCCUUAGUUGUAAGAUAUUUGUACUCCCUUGCUAGCUAGGGCCAAUGCCUUUUAGGGGCUGGAUUUGAUUUGAAAUUAGUAUGAGGUUUGGCUCUUUGGCAAAUGUAUGAUAUUUUGGACACUUGUACUGUAUGACUGAUCUUUCGUUAUGGUGUUUGGUUUCUCUUUAAAUCUCCCUGAAAUCUCGAGUAACAUGUUUGUUCAUUUGAGUUGUUGGUUGUUAUUUGCAUCUAUUCCUGAGUAACAGCCUGUUCAGUUAGAUGUUAGUUCAUUUUACUUUAGAUACUAGAAAGGUCAUCAUCAGCUUGUGUGAAAGGUGCAAAUGAUUUUUAUGGCUUUCUAAGACAUUUGGGUUUAAUAGUGCUUCUCUUGAAUCCGUGACUUUGUAGUUUUCAGGGUCUGUAGUCUCUAAUGCAUGGGGUUGGAGCAUGGUGACAUAAUGCCUGCUAUUCAAGUGCAUGCAUUUUGUUUGCAAUCAACAUAUGCUUGUCGUAUUCUUUAAAGUUGGUUUGCAUGAUUUGAUUCAAACAAUUGGUAUGAAAUUGGUGAUGACAUGUUUCCAUGUGUUGUGAAUUACGAUCGCAGGGGCUGGGGGUGAGCUCGUGAUUUUUGCCUCACUUGAAGUGUUACUACAAAUUCGUAAACUAGGAUUUUCUUUUAUUAUUAUUUGAAUUUUUAGGAAUUAAUUGUGUGAUUUUGUGUUUAUUUGUAUUUUUCCUUAUUAAUUGUGUGGUUCUGAAGUUUUUUAACAAAUAGGUACAAGUUAAAAGUUUAAAAAAAAAAGUACAUGUUAAAUGAGGGCGACCAAAUAGGAUGCCCUGUGCAAUUUGUACCCUCAUCUGUGCCUAAGAUUUAAUAAAAUGAUGGGUGUGAGCACGUGAUUUUUGCCUCACUUGAAGUGUUUCUAUAAAUUCGUAAACUAGGAUUUUCUUUUAUUAUUAUUUGAAUUUUUAGGAAUUAAUUGUGUGAUUUUGUGUUUAUUUGCAUUUCUCCUUAUUAAUUGUGUGAUUUUAUGUUUAUUUGCAUUAUUCCUUAUUAAUUGCGUGAUGUUGUAUUUAUUUGCGUCUUUCUUUUAUUAUUUGAAUAUUUAGAGUUUAAUUGCAUAAAUUGCAUGUUUAUUUGCAUAUUGAGUGCAUUUUAAUUCACAAAAAUACAAAAAAUAGAAUUUUAUUAAUUAGCCCAAUUUUGGAUUUUUAAAUCAGGUUUUAGUUAAUUUGGUGUUAAUAAAGUAAUUUAAUAAAGGAAUUAAAAUAAAUAAGAACAAAGGGGUUUGGAAAGGUGGCCUUGUUCUAAAAAGGCCAAUUUAGGCCAUUUUUGCAAGUAAAACCAGCCCAAAACCCUACCCAGACCCGAUCCAAUCCCACCCCCUCAUCAAAACGACGUCGUUUUGGCGUUCGUUCAUCCUGGCCGUCCAUAUCCCUGAUCCAACGGCUCAAAUUGAGCCUUAUAUUUUAUAUAUAAAUGUCCAAACCCAUGUAGUAGCUUCAGAGACCAAAAUCAUCUUCAUCGUACCAACUAACACACCGGUGUAACACCACCACCAAACUGUUGUACCACUAUCGUCUGCCACCGCCGUCGGCGUAACUCCGAUAGCCUCCAAAUUUACACACUAGAAUCCCCAUUGUCUCCUCUUCCCAACCCCCUAAGAUCACCCUUUGAAACCCUCCCUAGUCCGCCGAGUAUCCAUUCAAAGCACGGCAGCUCCGCCGUCCACGGCAGCUCCGGUGACCAACGACCCCCAAACUAACACCAUGGGACCCCCUCACCCUCCUCUUCCUAGCCCUGACAUCAUCCACUCUCAAACACGGCCUCAGCACUUCGAAUUUUCUUUUUAAUAAGGCUGCCCCGCCAGGCAUGGCGGUGGGUGACCUCCAGCGUCUCCCAAAGUAACACCACCCACCCCCUUAGUAUUCCCUACCCAAAAACAAGUCUAGUCCCCUUCGAAUAAUUCUCAAACUCCUCAAAUCCCAAAUCUAGGACUAGACCUAAUUUUGAGAUACAUUUCUCGGAGCCACCUGAGUCCUAAAAUGGAGUGGCGUGUUUGUUUUGACCAAAACACACAUGUGACUCCGUAUUGGGAUUCAGUUCCAUUCAGCAGACCAUUUGAAAGAAGUCCAUGUAAGUUCACUCGUUCUUAAUUUGUUUUUUUUGUUUUGUUUAUUGUUGUUUGCUUGGUUUAGCCAUUGAAUUUGACUUUGUUUCUAUUUUUUCUUAAUUAAAAAUGGUACCUUAUUCUGGUGAUGAUUCUAAUUUUAGUUAUUAGGAGCCAUGAACAUCUAUUUUAAAUUUUAAUUAAUAACUUCUGCUUUGUGUGCCAUGCUUGUUGUAGGUUUAAUUUUUAAGUUUAUGCAUGUUGUCUCUAAUGCUCUAAACUUAUGAAUCUGAGUAUUGGUUUGUGGUCACAUGUAAUUAGGAAAUGGUUUUGAUUGUUUGAUGUGUUUAGCAUGACAAUGCCCAUGUCUGUUUGUUAGAUUCAGUAAUCCCUUGUUUUUUUAAGAUUAAGUGUUGACUAAUGGAUCAUAUGUUUUGAGGGGCUGAUUUCUGAGAUUUAAUUUUGGUAACAGUAGCCUUCUAUGUUCUUCUUUUGAUUUUGGAAUAUUGGACUUGAUUUCUACCUUGAUUUCUGAGGAUUGAUUGGAAUGUGUCCUUGAUUAAUAUCAUUUGAAUUGGUUUUAGAUGUUAAGAUUAGAAGAAUUAAUUUUAGGAGUUAGUUUUGAUACCAAAUAAGUAGAUUAAGGGUAGUAUAGGGUUUGCCUACCUAAUUCUGAUAAUUUUAGGAUAAAUAAGGGUAAUAUAGAGUUUUUAACUUGGAUUUGGUAAUAUUAGGAAUAAAAUAAGGGUAGUAUAGGUAGUCUAUAAAGGGUGGAUAAUGGUAGAAACCUUUAGACCCUUCUAGAAGGGGCCUUUAAUACAAAAUCAGUAGUUUUAUUGCAAUAACUUGGGAAACAAGUCAAAAACUGAGGGUCUAAAUAGGUAAAAUCUGAAAAUUGAAAGAGGGACCUUUAGUUAAAAUAAAAUCAUAGUGGUUCCCUAGCCUUUGGCUAUAAAAGGAACUGAAAAUCACUCAAAAAGGGGGUUGAACAAUAUGGAAUAUAUCUCUACAAAUUUCUCAGAAUUUUGAAGCUCAAAAUCUCUCAAAAUAACUCCUGAAAACCCCAGUAGUCGUACAUUUACUGUUCCAUUGAAUUUAUUGUGGAGAAACACUCAAAUUCAGCAGUCAAGCAGGGAUCAUAGGAAAAUGACUUGGUUUGGUUGUUAUUCAGUGUAUUUCGAGUAGGUUUGGUAAUGUUGUAUGAUGUAAAGGUCACUUGAGUUACUAUUUGAAUUCUUGGGUUCAUUGGAUAUAUUUGAACAAGUGUUGCUGCUUGAUUUUUGAGUUUAAGACCUUCCCUGUUGCUUGGUGAUGUUUCUGGGUUAUUAACUACUUAUAAGUUGUGCAUUCCUGUUGCAUACACUGUUAUUGAGUCCUGUUGAUUUUUAACUCUACUUUUCUGCACAAAUUCCAGGUAUACUCUCGACCCCCAAUGUUGUAUCAAGCUUGGAUUUAAUGGAUAUUCAAGUUGAAGAAGUUUGUUAUAUUAUUUUACCAGUUUUAUUGUUGUCGUGUGAUUGUGCUUGAAAAGGUGGUUUGUAAUAAUAGGACACUUAGUUUAGCUUAUUAGAAUCAAUGUCUCCUGUGUUUAUUUCAAAAUGAAUGCCAAUGGUUUGUAAUAAUAGGACAGUAGAUCUCAGCUUACUAGUUGAGAUCGAUUUCUCUGUGUUUACUGCAAAAAUGAGCUCCCAGGAAUGUGCAUGGCAAAUGUAUUUUCACUUACGCUUUAAUUAUUUUAUAGUUAUGUG
rnacentral:lncRNA from 1 species